rnacentral:ncRNA from 2 species
CUCUUAUCAAGAAAGGCGGAGGGUUAUGGCCCGAUGAUGCCUUAGCAACCUCCCCGGUGCAAACCGGGAACUGGUGCUAAUUCCAUCCCACAGCAAUGUGGGGCAGAUAAGUC